GGGUUGUGAGGUUAAGCGACUAAGCGUACACGGUGGAUGCCCUGGCAGUCAGAGGCGAUGAAGGACGUGCUAAUCUGCGAUAAGCGUCGGUAAGGUGAUAUGAACCGUUAUAACCGGCGAUUUCCGAAUGGGGAAACCCAGUGUGUUUCGACACACUAUCAUUAACUGAAUCCAUAGGUUAAUGAGGCGAACCGGGGGAACUGAAACAUCUAAGUACCCCGAGGAAAAGAAAUCAACCGAGAUUCCCCCAGUAGCGGCGAGCGAACGGGGAGCAGCCCAGAGCCUGAAUCAGUAUGUGUGUUAGUGGAAGCGUCUGGAAAGGCGCGCGAUACAGGGUGACAGCCCCGUACACAAAAAUGCACAUGCUGUGAGCUCGAUGAGUAGGGCGGGACACGUGGUAUCCUGUCUGAAUAUGGGGGGACCAUCCUCCAAGGCUAAAUACUCCUGACUGACCGAUAGUGAACCAGUACCGUGAGGGAAAGGCGAAAAGAACCCCGGCGAGGGGAGUGAAAAAGAACCUGAAACCGUGUACGUACAAGCAGUGGGAGCACGCUUAGGCGUGUGACUGCGUACCUUUUGUAUAAUGGGUCAGCGACUUAUAUUCUGUAGCAAGGUUAACCGAAUAGGGGAGCCGAAGGGAAACCGAGUCUUAACUGGGCGUUAAGUUGCAGGGUAUAGACCCGAAACCCGGUGAUCUAGCCAUGGGCAGGUUGAAGGUUGGGUAACACUAACUGGAGGACCGAACCGACUAAUGUUGAAAAAUUAGCGGAUGACUUGUGGCUGGGGGUGAAAGGCCAAUCAAACCGGGAGAUAGCUGGUUCUCCCCGAAAGCUAUUUAGGUAGCGCCUCGUGAAUUCAUCUCCGGGGGUAGAGCACUGUUUCGGCAAGGGGGUCAUCCCGACUUACCAACCCGAUGCAAACUGCGAAUACCGGAGAAUGUUAUCACGGGAGACACACGGCGGGUGCUAACGUCCGUCGUGAAGAGGGAAACAACCCAGACCGCCAGCUAAGGUCCCAAAGUCAUGGUUAAGUGGGAAACGAUGUGGGAAGGCCCAGACAGCCAGGAUGUUGGCUUAGAAGCAGCCAUCAUUUAAAGAAAGCGUAAUAGCUCACUGGUCGAGUCGGCCUGCGCGGAAGAUGUAACGGGGCUAAACCAUGCACCGAAGCUGCGGCAGCGACGCUUAUGCGUUGUUGGGUAGGGGAGCGUUCUGUAAGCCUGUGAAGGUGUGCUGUGAGGCAUGCUGGAGGUAUCAGAAGUGCGAAUGCUGACAUAAGUAACGAUAAAGCGGGUGAAAAGCCCGCUCGCCGGAAGACCAAGGGUUCCUGUCCAACGUUAAUCGGGGCAGGGUGAGUCGACCCCUAAGGCGAGGCCGAAAGGCGUAGUCGAUGGGAAACAGGUUAAUAUUCCUGUACUUGGUGUUACUGCGAAGGGGGGACGGAGAAGGCUAUGUUGGCCGGGCGACGGUUGUCCCGGUUUAAGCGUGUAGGCUGGUUUUCCAGGCAAAUCCGGAAAAU
rnacentral:rRNA from 1 species